rnacentral:rRNA from 1 species
GUGGGGAAUAUUGGACAAUGGGGGGAACCCUGAUCCAGCCAUGCCGCGUGUGUGAAGAAGGCCUUUUGGUUGUAAAGCACUUUAAGCGAGGAGGAGGCUACCGAGAUUAAUACUCUUGGAUAGUGGACGUUACUCGAAGAAUAAGCACCGGCUAACUCUGUGCCAGCAGCCGCGGUAAUACAGAGGGUGCAAGCGUUAAUCGGAUUUACUGGGCGUAAAGCGCGCGUGGGUGGCCAAGUAAGUCAAAUGUGAAAUCCCCGAGCUUAACUUGGGAAUUGCAUUCGAUACUGGUGUGCUAGAGUAUGGGAGAGGAUGGUAGAAUUCCAGUUGUAGCGGUGAAAUGCGUAGAGAUCUGGAGGAAUACCGAUGGCGAAGGCAGCCAUCUGGCCUAAUACUGACACUGAGGUGCGAAAGCAUGGGGAGCAAACAGGAUUAGAAACCCUGGUAGUCC